UCUGACUUGAACCGAACUAAAGCAUAACGGUUCAACCUCAACCAGUCUUGAUGGAUCCCGAACCUAAGCAUAACGGUCAACCAACAAGUCCUUUGAUGGGUUCCGAACCAAGCAUUAACGGUUCAGGCCCAAACCAAACCUGAAAGGGGUAAACCAAAUGAAACCUAAAGGCGGCUUCAUCCCAAAUGCAAAUACAAAGAGUCAAGGCCAACCCAAAACGCAAGUCCACAAAUAAACCCCAAACCCAAAGUCUCACAAAUAAAUCCCAAAACCCAAAGUCCACAAAUAAAAUGCCAAAAACCAAAGUCCAAAAUAAACUCUACGACCGCAAAGUCGUUAACAAACAACCAAUUCAAAUGACCGCUAAAGUCCGUUAAACUGAACAACCCAAUUCAAACGACCGAAAUAUCGCUAAAUAAAACCCAUAUUCAAACGACGAAAAGUCGCUAACUAAACCGAAAUCCAAACGACUGAAAUGUGGCUAAACUAAACCAUAUUCAAAAUGAGCGAAAAGUUUAAACUCAAACCCAAAUCCAAACGACCGAAAAGUCGUUAAACUAAAUCUAUAUUUCAAACGACGCAACGUCCGUAAACUAAACCCAAAUUCAUAUGACCGAAAAGUCGUUAAACUAAACCAAAUUCCAAACGACGCGAAACGUCGCUAAACUAAAACCCAAAUUUACACCGAAAAGUCAUUAACCAAAACCCAAAUUCCUUGAACCAUGAACCAAAUCCAUACACCGAACCCAUGAACCAUAUCCAAGUUCAUGAACCAAAAUCCAUACAUCCAAACCCAUGAACGAUAAUCGCAAGUUCAUGACCAAAUCCAUACACCGAACGCCAUGAACCAUAUCGCAACUUCAUGAACCAGAACCCAUACACCAAACCCAUGAAUCCAAUCUAAGUUCACAAGAAGGUAAACCAAAUCCAUCACCGAAACCAGUGAACCAUAUCCAGUUCACGAACCAAAUCCAUACCCGACCCAUGAACCAUAUCCUCCAAGUUCAUGAACCAAAUCGCAUACACGAAUCAUGAACCAUAUCCAAGUUCAUGGACCAAAUCCAUACCCAAAUGCCAUGAAACCAUAUCUAAGUUCAUGAACCAAGUCAUACACCAAAUUCAUGAAACGGCAUAUCUCAUGAGCCCAAUACUCGAAAAUCUCAUGAACCAAUACCCAAAUCUCCAUCGUGAACCAUAUUUUUACUUCUGGCACAUACUACCUAGAGUAAAAUUAAAAAUAUCGACUACCCUAUACAUAUACUUAGGGCUAUGUCAAUAGUUCUUUGGCACAUAUAAUAAGGCGAAACAUGCUCGCAAAUCGACAGAAUCUAAGGCCAUAUACUUAGAAUUUCAGUUAAAUGAUAUCAUCUUAUUCGAACUCUAACAUAUAUACUUAGAGUCAUCCGAACUACCCUAACACAUAUACUUUAGGGUCUAGUCAGUCUUUUGCCUUACACAUAUACCUAGAGCUGAAGUCAAAAGCCAUGUCCGACAACCCUAAACACAUAUACUUAAGGGUGUAGUCAGUCUUUGCUCUAGCAGCAUAUACCUAGAGUGAAGUCAAGGCCGUGCUCGACUAGUCGCUAAACCCAUAUAUUUAGGGUCUAGCCAGCAUUUGCUCUAGCACUAAUAUACCUAGAGUGAAACCCAUCCCCGAUCGAGCUGCCUUAAUACAUAAUACUUAAGAUUCAAAUUCCGACUACCUAAUACAUAUUACUUAGGGCUUAGUCAGACCUUCACUCUAGCAGCAUAUAACUACGAGUGAAACUCGGUUAAAUCCUGAUACAUAUACUCGGAAUGCCACUCUCCACUUUCCGUAAUUCGACCACUUCAAUACAUAAUACUUGAGGUGAUGGUCAGCAUCUCCACCUUUGGAACAUACAACCAGCGUGAACUAUACAAUAGACUAAGGACAUAUACUUAGAGGCGCAGAUUAGAUCUAAAUACAUGGAGUUUAUAUCAAUAGUCUUAACAACAUAUCUUAGGAUCUAGUCCGACCCACCUCAUAAACAGUAUACUUGAGGCUGGUCACAUCUCCAUCUUGCAACAUAUACCAAAGGUGGGCAUAGAUCGGACUCUAAGACAUAAUACUUAAGGCCAAUUAGAUCUAAUACAUAGAUGUAACAUUGACUAGGUUUUAACAUAUAUAACUUAGACCUACGUCAAUCCUCAAAUUCCACUGAAUGCCUAAUACCAUAUACUUAGGAUUCAAUUUAUUACAUGGGGGUAAUGCCCCUGCUUAAGCCAUGUAAACGCAAAUCAUAUCAAUAAAUUCUUCAUUGCCGUGUUUUGUCUCUUUUAUUAUCAGGCAUUUAUAUUUGGGUCUCUUAAUCGAGGGUUCCUUAACACCGAAAGUGUGGGGUGAAUUAAUAACAGAUUCUUGAUCUGUUGGAAGUCAAUGAACCUAUAAUCCUAUUUCAAAAAUAAAGCUAAACAAAUUUUAUCGUUAACCAUGAUGACCACGUCGCCCUAAGAAACAACCUACGGCGGGGCCGGUUUCCGUUCGCGAUGCAGACAGAAAAUGGCACCCCAAGGUGGGACAUGGCUUUCACCCUCCAUCUUUGAGACCAAAUCCAAUAAUGCUGAUAUAGAGACAGUUUGACCGAUAAUAUGGCAUUUAUCCAAGCGGAGGGCAAUCCAAUCCGACUACAUCGCCUCGAUCGAGAUCAAAGAGCAUGUCGGUCAUUCCUCCAAAUGGCAUCACCACAGAAGGACGUUAUGUCUACAUUAUGUAUUUGCUCUGCCAGUUCAAAUCAUGCAGGGGCAAGAUUAUUCUGAGCUGACAAUCGUGGUCUCUUCCCUCUCAACAUCAUAUGCGAGGCUUAUUCAUCGGCAAGAGAGCAAAUGGCUUCCAACAACGACCACAUUCCUCUACCUCGGUGGGAGAUCAAAGUUGAGGAAUUUCGGUUUCCUGCCACUUUGGCACACUACAGAAGGACGUUCUGGCCACCAUUCUAUCUGAUCUGCCGCUCAAGUCAUCAGGGGGAAGGGGGCAAGGACGAUCUUGCCGACAAUCGUGGUAUUCUCACCCCUCAGCGCAUAUCUUGGCGUAUUCGUUGAGGGCAUAAUCAACUCCUUCAUAUUUUUGGAGACAUUACUUUUCAUUGCUCCUUUUCCAUUUGGGUGACAUAUGGCAGAAUGUUCUAAUCACUGCACUUGUCACAAAACGUCAGGGGUCAAAUCAAUUUCCACGAACAAUUAUGGUCCUUUAUGCUUCUUGAUUCGAUAAGGUACCACAAAUAAUAGUUAAUGCCCGAAAACUUUUUUUACGCCUACGCAGUGCGCCCUAAAACUAUUAGAUCAUGUGGGGAACGAAACAGAGAUAGUGGAACACUGCUUGUCUUUAUUUUUGGAGUCAUAUUCACUCACUCUCAUGUCUCCGAGGUGGCAAUCUAUGCCUUUUUGGUACAUUGUCUCAAUUUCUCAUUUUCUAUGAUAGAUUUAUCAUAGUCGAUUCCUUAUGAAAAAAAAAUAUGCAAAAAAAAUUUAUAGUAAAUUAUUAUUUUACAAAAAAAAAGAUUUAAUUAUGAACUAAAAACAUUUAAAAUAAGUAAAUAAAAAAGUUAAAUAGUCAAUAUAAUAACAGGCAAAAAAUAAGAUAAGAUUAUAAAAAUGAUGAUGCUAAAUAUAUAGAAAGUACAGAGCUUAUUAUAAUGAAUAUAGGCAUAAGCUGAAUAGAAAAAAUCAAGUCUUCCAGAGCCCUGUUCGAGUAAUAUACCUCUACUUAUAUGGUUUUCUUUUUUCUAUUUCCAAUCGUGGCAAAAGUUUUAGAAAAUUGUCUUUCUUUUGGGAAACACCGUUCUAUCUGGGUCUGCGCAGUUGGUCCAGGUUAUUUCAAGAUGCCGCCUGAACCAAACCACAAGGGAUUUGACUUAAACCAAAGUGGAUCCGAUCCAAGCUGAACCGAACCGGAUCCCGUCUGAACCAAAUCAUAAUGGAUUCGACUUAAACCGAAGGGAUCCGAUCCAAACUGAACCAAACCAGAUCCCGUCUAAACCAAAUCAUAAUGGAUUCGACUUAAACCGAAACGGAUCCAAUCCGAACUGAACCGAACCGGAUCCGGUCUGAACCAAGCUGCAAAGGAUUCAACUUGAUCCGAAGUGGAUCCGACUUGAACCGAACAAGGAAGGAGUCAACUUGAACCGAAGUGGGUCCAAUCCGAAUCGAACCAAGAAGCAUUCGACUCGAACUGAAGUGGAGCCGAUUCGAAUCAAACCAUAAAGCAUUCAACUUAAACCGAAGCGGAUUCGAUCCAAACUGAACCAAACCGGAUCUCAUCUGAACCAUAAAGGAUUCAACUCGACCCGAAGUACAUCCGACUUGAACCGAACCAGGAAGGAGUCAACUUGAACCUAAGUGGAUCCGACUUGAACCGAACUAGGAAGGAGUCAACUUGAACCGAAGUGGAUCCAAUCCGUACCGAACCAGGAAGCAAUCGAUUCGAACCAAAGUGGGUCCGAUCUGAACCAAACUACAAAGGAUUCGACUUGAACCGAAGUGGAUCUGAUUUGAACCGAACCAUAGAAGAGUCAACUCGAACCUANGGGUCCGGAUCAUUAAACCGGGUCGCCGUCUUCGUGAUAGGCUUGACCCGGGUUCGGAUCAUUAAACCGGGUCGCCGUCUUCGUGAUAGGCUUGACUCGGGAUCGGUUAAUUAAACCGGGUCGUCGACUUCGUGAUAGGCUUGACCCGGGUUCGAUUCAUUAAACCGGGUCGUCGUCUUCGUGAUAGGCUUGACCCGGGAUCGGUUAAUUAAACCGGGUCGCCGUCUUCGUGAUAGGCUUGACCCGGGUUCGGUUCAAUUAAACCGGGUCGUCGUCUUCGUGAUAGACUAGACCCGAGUCAACUAAACCAUAAUGAUAAAUCAAAUCGGAUUAUAAGCCGAUCAAGUCUAAUCAAUAAGUCUAAUUGAACCAUUAAAGACAUAACCGAACCAAAUCAAACUACAAGCUAGUUUGACUUGAACCAAACCAUGAAGGAUCCAAAUCGAACCUGAAAGGAACCGACUCAACCGAACCAGGAAAGAUUCGACUCGAACCAAAGUGGAUUCGAUCCGAACCGAGCCAAAUGGAUUUAACUUGAUCCAAAGUGGAUUUGACCUGAUACGAACCAGGAAGGAUUCGACUCGAACCGAAGCGGAUCCAAUCCGAACCAAACCAAAUGGAUUCAACUUGAUCCGAAGUGGAUCUGAUCCGGACAGAACCAUAAAGGAUUCAACUUGAACUAAAGUGAAUCCGAUCUGAUCCGAACCGAACCGGAUCCGAAUCGAACCGAACCAUAAAGGAUUUGACUUGAACCAAGGUGAAUCCGAUCUGAACUGAACCGAACCGGAUCCGAACUGAACCGAAUCAUAAAGGAUUCGACUUGAAUCGAUGCUGAUCCAAUCCGAACUCAAGCGAACCAGAUCCGGUCUAAAUCAAAUCAUAAAUGAUUCAACUUGAACCGAAGUGAGUCCGAUCCGAACCAAACCAUGAAGGAUUCGACUCUAACCGAAAUGAAUCCAAUCCAAAUCAUACCACAGGGGAUUGAACCUGAACCGAAGUGAAGUGGAUCCAACCCGAACUAUAAAGGAUUCGACUUGAACCAAAGUGAAUCCGAUCCGAGCCGAACCAUAAAGGAUUCAACUUGAACCGAAGCGGAUCUGAUUUGAGCCGAACCAUAGAAAAUUCAACUCGAACCGAAGUGGACCCGAUCUGAACUGAACCGAAUCGGAUUCGGUCCGAACUAAAUCAUAAGGGAUUCAACUUGAACCGAACCGAAUCCCGUCUGAACCAAAUCAUAAGGGAUUCGACUUGAACCGAACCGGGUCCCGUCUGAACCGAAUCAAGAAGCAUUCGACUCAAGCCGAAAUGGAGCCGAUCCGAACCAAACCAUAAAGCAUUCAACUUGAACCAACUCGAACCGAAUCCGGUCCAAUCCGAUCAGAACCAUAAAGGAUCCGACUCGAACCUAGGUGGGUCCGACCUGAAUUGAACAAUGAAGAAUCCGAUUCAAACCAAACCAUGAAGGACCCGACUCGAAUCGAACCAUGAAGGAUCUGACUUGAACCGAACUAAAGCAUAACGGUUCAACUCAAACCAAGUCUUGAUGGGUCCCGAACCCAAGCAUAACGGUUCAACCCAAACCAAGUCUUGAUGGGUUCCGAACCAAAGCAUAACGGUUCAGCCCAAACCAAACCUGAAAAGGGUAAACCAAAUGAAAACCUAAGGCGGUUCAUCCCAAAUCAAAUACAAGAGGUUUAAGCCAAUCCAAACCCAAAGCCCACAAAUAAAUCCCCAAAACCAAAACCCACAGAUAAAUUCCAAAACCAAAGUCCACAAAUAAAAUCCCAAAGCCCAAACUCAGUCGACCGAAACGUCGUUAAACUAAACCCAAAUCUAAUUUUCAUGAACAUCUCAAUUUCAGUCGACCGAAACGUCGUUAAACUAAACCCAAAUCCAAUUUUCAUGAACAUCUCAAUUUCAGACGACCGAAAAGUCGUUAAACUAAACCUAAACCCAUGAACCAUAUCCAAGUUCAUGAACCAAAUCCAUACACCAAAUCCAUGAACCAUAUCCAAGUUCAUAAACUAAAUCCAUACACCAAACUCAUGAACCAUAUCCAAGUUGAUGAACCAAAUCCAUACACCAAAUUCAUGAACCAUAUCCAAGUUCAUGAACCAAAUCCAUACACCAAAUCCAUGAACCAUAUCCAAGUUCAUGAA
rnacentral:lncRNA from 1 species